AGGGACCGACCAUUUGAUUUUUGAUGGGGGGGUGGGUAGAUUUUCAGUUUGCUCGAUAUUUUUUUUCCACCUCCUGACACUGUUCGAUUUUUUUUUGUCAGUCAGAGGACUUGCACGAUAUUUUUUUGUAUGCAUGUAUAUACAUUUUUUAGUUUUUUGUUUUUACAUUUUUUGGUAUAUAAUAGGUAAUUGGACAAGUAUUGGACAAGUACCUAAAUAAUGAGAGGACCAUGAGUAUUCAAAAAAUGGUUGUUCUUCAUUACUUUACUCCGACUCCUAUGAUGAACAUGUAUGUAAAAAAACUAGGGUAACUACGAUUAUAUAUAGAAACUAAAACGCGUUUCGACCUAACAGUCUUCUUCAGCAGGGGUUUUUAAACGGGGGGGGGAGGGUAUAUAGAAUUUGCAGCGGAGAAGAAAGGAGAGUUUAGGAGAAAAUAAUGUGAACUUCGAUCCUCUAUGUAGCAAAAUCCACACCAGAACUAGCUACAGCUAUCUAUUAUUCUAUUGGUCAUAUCGUAUCAUUCAUUUACUAAUCUCUGUUUUGGUUUUGUUAUAUAUGUACAUGUUUUAGUUAUUAUCCCCUAUCCCUGUCUUAUAAGGGUGAAUAGGUUUUCGGAUCCGUCGGAUUUCACAGAAAAAAUUGUUCGGAUUUCGGAUCUGGCGAAUGUUUUACACGGAUUUGCGGAUCUUAUUAAUACAGCGGAUUGCGGAUUUAUCACUAAUAUUUUGGCUCGGAUUGUGGAUUUAGCUUGAAAUUUAGUUCGGAUGCUGGAUUGUGACUUCACAGUAGAGCUUUUAGCGGAUCCAAAUUUAGACAAUUGAAGACUAUUGUCGGAUCGCGGAUUUUGCUUCAAAUUUGGGCGGAUCGGCGGAUUUGUAUACCCCUAUUCACCCCCCCCCCCUCCUUGUAAGCUCCUACACCACUAACACCAUAUUUGGAUGCAAUCACCUACAGUCACAAGAUCACCCUUACCAUCACAAUCAUUCAAACUCACUAUACCAUUGAGUAAGAAUUGAAGGACCUGCAAAUUUGCUUCACUUCACCAAUACGAACGAUGAACAAUAAAGUGCGUAGUGUUGGAAUGUCCCGCAAACAACAAGACCUUUGGUAGGAUAACUUGACUAGUAACAUGUAUAGUAGUUACAUCCUUUCACUGUGUAACACGGGUUAUUUUCAGUUAUUUCGUAAUAAUUUGUUUUCCUCUUGGUCUCACAUUAUUUUCCGAACUCCUAUAAACUCUCCUUCCUUCUCUUCAAAUUAUAUCUACCCCCUCUUAAAAAAACCCUAGCUGCUGAAGAAAACUGUUAGGUCGAAACGCAUACCCCUGUACGCUAUUCCUACUCAAUUUCAAUCUCUCGCUCUUAUAUCCUCGCCUUUGAUUGUGUCCCAUAAAAAUUUCACCUAUUUUAGUUUCUACGGCCGUGAUUUAAUCGUAGUUUUCCUAGUUUUUUACGUUCAUGUUCAUCAUAGGAGUCGGAGUAAAGAAAUAAAGAACAACCAUUUUUGGAAUUAUACUGGUCCUCCCAUUAUUUAGGCUACAGGGCCGUAGGAAGCUCUUUUUGAUUGGGGGGAGCUGAAAGCGAGGGCCGAAGGCCUGAGGAAAUUUUUAAAUUUAGAGUCUCUGAAAUGCCAUUUCCUGGACCCUGCAGUCCCCCCGGUUGCUACAUACGGCCCUGGGCUACACGCAGAAAUGCACCGAAUGGCAAAUAAGGAUUACCACUCGAAAGUCUUGCUCGAUAUUUUUUUUCGUCCGUUUAUUCUUGCACGAUAUUUUUUUUAAGUUCGAAUUGCUUGCUCGAUAUUUUUUUGGGGAUUCUACCCACCCCCCCCCAUCAAAAAUCAAAUGGUCCGUCCCUUAAGGGUUAGGUGCCGCGAAUUUGGCAUUUAUCAUGUCGAUAAAUUCGGACGCGUUUAACAAUUUACUGGUAUAAUAAAAUUCAAAUGUGGAACUCAUGCUGUAAAUUACACUAUACGUAUAAUCUUGAUCAAAAAAUUUCCACGACAUAUGGCGCCGGAAAAUUGGCGCCGGGAAUUUGGUGCCGGAAAAAAUUUGCGGACAUAAAAUCGUUUAUUUUUUGCCGACAAUUUUCUUAAUUUUUUGAGAUUUUUAGAUGUAUUAUUCAUCUGGGUACUGGGAUUUAUAUUCUGAGUUCAUCAAUCUUGCAUCAAUAAAUUUUAAGGGUCCCUUGUUUUGCGAGCCCCGCCCGAGAUAAAGUUCCACUCUGCCUC
rnacentral:lncRNA from 1 species